rnacentral:rRNA from 1 species
AUUGAACGCUGGCGGCAGGCCUAACACAUGCAAGUCGAACGGUAGCACAGGAGAGCUUGCUCUCUGGGUGACGAGUGGCGGACGGGUGAGUAAUGCAUGGGGAGCUGCCCAAUCGAGGGGGAUACCAGCUGGAAACGGCUGCUAAUACCGCAUACGCACUGGGGGGGAAAGGUGGGGACCUUCGGGCCUACCGCGAUUGGAUGCACCCAUGUGGGAUUAGCUAGUUGGUGAGGUAACGGCUCACCAAGGCGACGAUCUCUAGCUGGUCUGAGAGGAUGACCAGCCACACUGGAACUGAGACACGGUCCAGACUCCUACGGGAGGCAGCAGUGGGGAAUAUUGCACAAUGGGGGAAACCCUGAUGCAGCCAUGCCGCGUGUGUGAAGAAGGCCUUCGGGUUGUAAAGCACUUUCAGUAGGGAGGAAGGGUUGAUGUCUAAUACGCAUCAGCAUUGACGUUACCUACAGAAGAAGCACCGGCUAACUCCGUGCCAGCCGCCGCGGUAACAC